rnacentral:lncRNA from 1 species
GCCGUUUGGAUUGAUCACUUGGUCGCGGAGAAAUCCUGCUAUCGUCUCUUGGAUAGCUUUGAUUCGGUCUUGUUGUAGGACCUUUUCCCUCAACCAUUCCGUCUUUAAUUUGAAAUGAAUAAAAAAGGUAUUAGUUAUCUAAGUUAUUCAAUAUAAUUCAGGAGAUAAUGAAAAGAGACAUGUAACGUACUCUGAGCGUCUUUGUGGGUGUUUGAUUGACUUGUGCCAACAGGAAUUUGCACACGUAAUAUGCAUAUAGAUUGUUCCCCCCUUCUUGUCUUAAACACCACUGUACGAUAUAUAUAUAAAAAUAUUCACGACCACAAUAAUAAGAAGGCUAAAAGUUAGCGAAAGUUUGUU